rnacentral:rRNA from 1 species
UACAGAGGUCUCAAGCGUUGUUCGGAUUUAUUGGGCGUAAAGGGCGCGUAGGCGGCGGGGUAAGUCGGGUGUGAAAUCUCCAGGCUCAACCUGGGAACUGCAUCCGAUACUGGAUGGCUUGAAUUCGGGAGAGGGAUGCAGAAUUCCAGGUGUAGCGGUGAAAUGCGUAGAUAUCUGGAGGAAUACCGGUGGCGAAGGCGGCAUCCUGGACCGACAUUGACGCUGAGGAGCGAAAGCUAGGGGAGCAAACGGG